rnacentral:lncRNA from 1 species
CCCGCGGCGCCGCAGGUUCGCCCCGCCAGCCCACGAUCGGCAGACAAAGGGGCACCGAGGGCGAGACCCAGCGCUUCCCCAAACUUACCGACCGCCUCCCCCUCCCCAAAACAAUGGAGCCCCCUCCGGUCUCCGCCCGCCCCGGACGCGCCGGCACUUUGGGGAACGGCCACCUCGGGGUAUUGUUCAGCCUGCAGGGAGCGCGCCGCACACCAGCCCGAGCCCUACAGACAGUUAGGGACCUGCCCCUCCAGAGCCCCGGAGGCGGCCGGAGCGGGCAGGCGUCCGGAACCGCCGGGAAGCCCCCCGGGGGGAACCAAUCGCCGAGCCCCCCGCCGGACAACCGGACAAGUUUGCGUCCCUCGCCCCGGCCCGGCCCGGCCGGCCGAGCCCCGCGCACUCACCUCGCCGCGGGCAGCGCAACUUGUGGCGGCACCGCCGCGCCGGCUGCGCUCCGCGCCUCCCUCCGGCCUGCCGUCGCCGAGCCCGGGCCGUGCGGCGGCCGACGAGGGCCCGGCGCCUGAGCCGCCCCCGCCGCCCCGGCCGCCCAGCGCCGCCGCCGCCGAGUCCCCGAGAGGCGCGGGCGCUGGAAAGUUUCGGGUGCCGAAUGGCGGCCGAGGGCGCUGCGGCGGCGGCGGCGAGGCGGGGGCGCUGGAGGCUCCUCGCUCCCGAGCGCCGGGGGGGGCUGGGGCGGGAGCGGCGGCGGCGGCGGCGGCGGCGGAGGGCGGGACGGCGGGAGGGCCCGGCACGGGCAGUGACCUCCGGGGGGAGCGGCCGCUAGCGCGCAGACCCGGGCCGGGAGCACGGCCAGGGGCCCCUCCCCCCAGCCCCUCCCCUGCGCCCCGGGGGGCCGCGUCCCAAACCCCCCCUCCUCUCGGAGAGUGGGGACACGAGGCCUGCCCCUCCCCCCCCCGGCGAAGGAAGAGAGUCUGCGCCCCCCCCACGGCCCCUCCCCCACGGCCUCUAGGGAGGCCCCGCGUCCCAAUCCUGCCCCUCCCCCACGGCAGAGGGACCUGCGACCCCACACAGCCCCUCUCCCCAAGCUCUCCCCUGCCCCCCACGCCUAGGGUGGGUGAGGGGAACCCCGGCCUCUCCCUCCUUGCUCCGAACCCUGUCCCUUCCCCGUGGCCUCCACUGGAGAUGAAGGGAACCCGGGCCUGCCCCCCACUCAGUCCCAAACGCAGCCUUUCCCCCACAGCCUGGAGGGGACCGGAACUCGGGCCACCACCCCGGAGGUUUCCAGGGGAGAGGGGAGCCCGGCCGCUGCUAGAAUGUUACCCUCCCCCAUCUCAAAAAAGACGCCGCCCGGCUGCCUCUACAGAUCCCCCUGCAACCUGGCCAAGGGUGCAGCUCCCUCAAACUCGGCCGUCUAGAAGACGCCCCGAUGGUGUCUCCUCCCACCCCAAAACGUUGGGGCUCAGGUUGAGCCUCGACAUUGGCAAACCCCUCCCGGGAAGAGGCAGAAAUGCUUGGGGAGAAAGAAACUCGGACACACAGGGGUGGAAGCCAGGAGCUCGGCUGUGGGGGCUCCGGGGGGUUGGGGGGACCCGGGCCCGCGGGGCCUCUUCACCCCCCCACCCCCACCCCCACCCGCAGGCUUCAGACCUCUGGCGUUUGCAAAGUGUUUCAUGUUGCAAUGGCUUACUCGGCCGAGCCCUAGUGCACCCAAGUCCCCAGCGCUCCCUCCUUCCCUCCACUUUGGUGACAACUGCCCCCCGCUCGCGGCCUUAA